CUUAACACAUGCAAGUCGAACGGCAGCACGGGUGCUUGCACCUGGUGGCGAGUGGCGAACGGGUGAGUAAUACAUCGGAACAUGUCCUGUAGUGGGGGAUAGCCCGGCGAAAGCCGGAUUAAUACCGCAUACGAUCCACGGAUGAAAGCGGGGGACCUUCGGGCCUCGCGCUAUAGGGUUGGCCGAUGGCUGAUUAGCUAGUUGGUGGGGUAAAGGCCUACCAAGGCGACGAUCAGUAGCUGGUCUGAGAGGACGACCAGCCACACUGGGACUGAGACACGGCCCAGACUCCUACGGGAGGCAGCAGUGGGGAAUUUUGGACAAUGGGCGAAAGCCUGAUCCAGCAAUGCCGCGUGUGUGAAGUAAACCUUCGGGUUGUAAAGCACUUUUGUCCGGAAAGAAA
rnacentral:rRNA from 1 species